CCUACGGGUGGCAGCAGUCGAGAAUCAUUCACAAUGGGGGAAACCCUGAUGGUGCGACGCCGCGUGAGGGAAUGCAGGUCUUCGGAUUGUAAACCCCUGUCAUGUGGGAGCAAAUUAAAAAGAUAGUACCACAAGAGGAAGAGACGGCUAACUCUGUGCCAGCAGCCGCGGUAAUACAGAGGUCUCAAGCGUUGGUCGGACUCACUGGGCGUAGAGCGUGCGUAGGCUGUUUGGUAAGUCGUGUGGGAAAGGGGCGGGAUCAACCCGCGGAUUGCACAUGAUACUGCGAGACUAGAGUUAGGGAGGGGGAACCGGAAUUCUCGGUGUAGCAGUGAAAUGCGUAGAUAUCGAGAGGAACACUCGUGGCGAAGGCGGGUUCCUGGACAUUAACUGACGCUGAGGCACGAAGGCCAGGGGAGCGAAAGGGAUUAGAUACCCCUGUAGUC
rnacentral:rRNA from 1 species